rnacentral:rRNA from 1 species
AUUGAACGCUGGCGGCAGGCCUAACACAUGCAAGUCGAGCGGAUGAAGGGAGCUUGCUCCUGGAUUCAGCGGCGGACGGGUGAGUAAUGCCUAGGAAUCUGCCUGGUAGUGGGGGAUAACGUCCGGAAACGGGCGCUAAUACCGCAUACGUCCUGAGGGAGAAAGUGGGGGAUCUUCGGACCUCACGCUAUCAGAUGAGCCUAGGUCGGAUUAGCUAGUUGGUGGGGUAAAGGCCUACCAAGGCGACGAUCCGUAACUGGUCUGAGAGGAUGAUCAGUCACACGGGAAAUGAAAACCGGUCCAGACCCCUACGGGGGGCAGGAGGGGGGAAUAAUGGAAAAUGGGCGAAAGCCUGAUCCAGCCAUGGCGGGUGGUGGGAGAAGGUCUUCGGAUUUUAAAGCACUUUAAGUUGGGAGGAAGGGCAGUAAGUUAAUACCUUGGUGUUUUGACGUUACCAAAAAAAAAAGCCCCGGCUAACUUCG